rnacentral:rRNA from 1 species
UACGUAGGGGGCAAGCGUUGUCCGGAUUUAUUGGGCGUAAAGAGCGUGUAGGCGGCCAAAUAGGUCGGUUGUGAAAACUGGAGGCUUAACCUCCAGACGUCGACCGAAACCAUUCGGCUAGAGUCCGGAAGAGGAGAGUGGAAUUCCUGGUGUAGCGGUGAAAUGCGCAGAUAUCAGGAAGAACACCAAUGGCGAAGGCAGCUCUCUGGGACGGUACUGACGCUGAGACGCGAAAGCGUGGGGAGCGAACAGG